GGCAGUGUAGCUCAUUGGUAAAGCAUGUGCUUAGCAUGCAUGAGACCCUGGGUUCAAUCCUCAGCACCA
rnacentral:tRNA from 1 species